rnacentral:rRNA from 1 species
UACGUAGGGGGCAAGCGUUGUCCGGAAUCAUUGGGCGUAAAGAGCGUGUAGGCGGCCAGAUAAGUCCGCUGUGAAAUCUCGAGGCUCAACUUCGAGCUGUCGGUGGAAACUGUCUGGCUAGAGUCCGGAAGAGGAGAAUGGAAUUCCCGGUGUAGCGGUGAAAUGCGCAGAUAUCGGGAAGAACACCCGUGGCGAAGGCGGUUCUCUGGGACGGUACUGACGCUGAGACGCGAAAGCGUGGGGAGCAAACAGG